rnacentral:rRNA from 1 species
AGUGAACGCUGGCGGUAGGCCUAACACAUGCAAGUCGAACGGCAGCACAGUAAGAGCUUGCUCUUACGGGUGGCGAGUGGCGGACGGGUGAGGAAUACAUCGGAAUCUACUUUUUCGUGGGGGAUAACGUAGGGAAACUUACGCUAAUACCGCAUACGACCUACGGGUGAAAGCAGGGGAUCUUCGGACCUUGCGCGAUUGAAUGAGCCGAUGUCGGAUUAGCUAGUUGGCGGGGUAAAGGCCCACCAAGGCGACGAUCCGUAGCUGGUCUGAGAGGAUGACAGGCAAAACUGGAAUUGGAACACGUUCCAGACCCCAAGGGAGGGCAGAGUGGGGAAUAUUGGACAAAGGGCGCAAGCCUGAUCCAGCCAUACCGCGUGGGUGAAGAAGGCCUUCGGGUUGUAAAGCCCUUUUGUUGGGAAAGAAAAGCAGCAGGUUAAUACCCCGCUGUUCUGACGGUACCCAAAGAAUAAGCACCGGCUAACUUCGUG